CUACUGCACAUUCCCUUCUGCCAUCCCUAUUAUAUGUUUAUUUCUAUAAUUCCAGGAAAAAGAAAGUGCUAGAUUCUCCAGCAUGAAAAGUUUUGAAACAAAUGGAUUUACACACAAUGGUGCUGUACCAUGACAUUUCUUGUGUUUUAGCACUUGUCUCAUUUCUACUUGACUACAUGAAAGUGAAUGUGCACGCCCUCUUGCAUAUGCUUCAGAAGCACUUGGGAGUCAGAGCCUUGCCCGGCAUGUGGAUGACCUGCUGCAUGACAGAGCUGCGUGGUCACACCUUGCCAUCCCAUAGCCUGAGGUUCUUGCCAGCAAAGUGCAGUUACAAGAAUUCAAGGUACUGAACGGGUAGGAAACAGCCUCUUAUAGUACUGUGAGAAGUGUUGACUCACGAGGUUUGUCUGACUCACAUUAAAUAUUUACCGUUAUUGGUUACUUUAAUCGUUCAGCUGUAAUGAAAAGUAUUCCCUGCAGCCACGCCACCCCAGGCUGUGAUCCAGCCAUGCUCCACACCCAAGGCUAUGUCAGCAAGCCAGCAAAUGCUGUCUCCUGCCACCUCCAAAGUGGUGUGGCAAGGACAGCUGUGUAAAAACCAUCUCUACUUCUAUAUAUUCAUGGGAACAGCUGCCACUCCAUGGCCAGCACCUCAUCCAGAAGGAGCAGUUGGGAAAAGGUGCAGCUGAAAGAAUCACAUGCUGAGGGAAACUAAAAAAGGGUUCAGGCCAUUUCUACUAUCAUGGCAAGGAAGAUGCCUUCCCCCAAAGCACAGAACUUUAAUUCAUCACUCUUAAACCAACUGAUCUUCAUUGGACUCCGAGUUUGACAAUCCUCUUGUGGUUUUGGCUCAGCAUCACCUGACUAUACCACCUCUCUAAGGGCAAUGUUUCAAAUCUCCUACUAUUGCAAUCAGACAUUUCAUUCCUCAUGUUACAAAUGUCAAAUAUAGUGUUGCUGUUUACUGCUAGAAAUCAUCAUGUUCAACCCAAAGCUAGAUUUAUUGUACUACUACACAAAAGCAUUCAUAUAUAUAUAAGAAAAAAACCCUAUUCUUCACGCCAAAAAAUGACAUGAACACUAAGACUAAGAAACUUGAGAUGUCCCUCAGCUCUAUUCUUUUAUUCCAACUGCACAUAUAACACACCCAGUUCUUUUUUAUAGCUCUGAAAUUAUGCAAUGUUGCAACAAUAAAGCUUAAUUCAAAAUGAACA
rnacentral:lncRNA from 1 species